GGCACCAAAGCUACACAGAGAAACCUUGUCUCAGAAAAAACAGAGAGAGAAGAAAAAAAAGAAGUAUGAAUAUAUAUUAUUUUGUGUGUGUCUAUGUGCGUGCAUGCACUCGCGUAUCACACAGGACAUGUAUGCAGAUCAGAUGGACAGUUCUUUGCUUGAAUAAUGCUGAUCCUGUGAGGUCGACUGAACUCAGGUCAUCAGGCUUUGAGGCAGGUGCCUUUAUUGUGCUCAGUCAUGUUCAUGUAUGUAUGUUUGCCUGUAUAGCUGUAUGUGCAUGUGAGUUCAGCUGUGAGGGAGGUGGGCUUACCCUCAUGGGUGCUAGCAACUGAACUUCAACUUUUGCUAGAGCAUUUUGCACCCUUAACCACGGAGCCUGUGGUCUCCUGCCCCUGUGCCUCUUGGUACAAUAGGUAAAAUGAGAGUCUUCUUUUUAAAACGGGGGUUUUAAGCCUAUAAUUUACUUCUCCAACUAACCUGUAACAUGUGGAUAGCCACAGCAAUUACAGCCACUAUAGCAAUGCUGACGGCUAAAACUACAGAAGUUGCUCUGAUGCAGGUCUCAGGAUAAGACACAAGCCGAUCUUCUACAGAAGCAGAAAAGAAAAGAAAUUCCGGAGGAGAAAAGGAAAACAAAGGAAAGAAGGACAAGAAGAGUGGGAACAUAUGAAAGGAGCAAACACAGGACGCCGUGAGAUGAACCGCAAGUGGCCAGUCAUCUGCGGAAGCUGCUGCUGACCAUCCGGGUCACGUAACUCGCGGAGCCAUUUCGGGAGCGGCACAGGGACUAUUUGGCUGAGACGCAUGCUCAUCUGUGUCAUGCCCCCUUUUCCUGUCCCCCCCCCCCCUCCCUUCUCAGUGCCAGAGACCCAGGCUUGUAUAACUUAUAAAAUGGCGGCGGCGGCGGGACAUUUGCUUACUUCCCGGGAUUAGCAAAGCAGCUAGAGGAUGACUCUAAGCAGAGUGGAGAAGCUGGCCAGUUAAUGUGUCAGGACGGAGUUUGACUCUGUAGCUCAAGGUGGCCUGGCAGUCGCCAUGUUGGAUGGGCCCUAAGCUUGCAGCAGGCCUCCUGACUCAGCCUCCCUCCCGGAUGCUGAGGUUACAACAAGAGCCACCAUGCCUACCUGAAGAGCUGGUGUUUAAAGGAAACUAAAGCCUGGUGAUUCGUUGUGCACAGGGGAAGCCUUUCUGUGGUCCUUUUUGCAUUCCUGGCCUCCAGCCAGAGCCAGGGCAUUUCCCACUUUCUGAGCAAAGACAAAACUCAGAGCUGUUGCUUUCAAGGUUCAUGCCCUAAGAUGUUUGAACAUCUUCUAGCUCCUGUCCUCAUCAACAGUCCCAGGCUGCCUGGGUCCUUCUCUAGUCCGUCUGCUAUCCAGAUUUACCCAAAGCACCAUGCAACACGUGAGCACUGUCCUCCUGACGUGUGAACUGAGACACCAGCCUCUGAUUCAAAGACUGCCACCUGAUAAUGAUGUCAGCAGCAAGUGGCCAGAGUGAUCUCAGUGCCACCUAGCCUCCGCCACCACCUCCUUUUCUAUAAAAUUGUCCCUCUGUUCCUUUUACAUGGACAAUAAGGCUGAAAAUACUAUGUCAUGUGUAGAGGUGACAGAAAACCUGCCUGGGCUGGAGAAAGGGGCUCGGGCAGACGGAAGUCCUGCUGCUGAUGGUAAGUAAGUGCAGGAGGGGUGCCCAGUGAGGUCUGGGGCUUCCUGGUGGUGCAGCAGGCUGUGUGGACAGCCUAGAUGACCAGAGCCAGCAGGAGACUGAAGGCCAGCAAAGACUGGCAUUUCUAGCUGGCAGCCGGAGAUCAAAGAACUCAUCCCUCCCCCAACAACUGCUUUCGGCGAUCCAAAGCAGGAAGAUAUGAAAGCCCAGCUUUCGACUCCCUUCUCUCCUUCCCUUCCCCCACUUCCUUCUGUUGGAGCACAGAGGAGAGGGAGAGGGAGAGGGAGCGGACAAGCACUAGCCUGGAUUGAAAACCCUCCCUGCUUUGUUCACUUCCCGGGCUGACAGCCAUUCUUCUGAUCUGACCUUAGUCGACCACGCUUCUUUUGCCUGAGCUUAUGCAGCAGCCUUGCCAUCAGCCCAGGUGCGACCUGCCAACGGGCCUUUGCCGUCGCCAGACUCCUAGUUAUGCCCUUCUGAGGACUUUAGACUCAGGCUCAUCCAGCGUCUGGGAGCUCCUAAGGCCUGCUGGAGACAUGCUGCAGGGCCCUGCCUUGGCUUCGCACUGCUCCUGUUCUGAAAGACUCAGCUCCUGCCUCGAGCAGGGGGCUCCUUCCUGCCUGGAGACCCACUGGUAGAGUAAACCUGAACAAACUGCUCCAGGCCCUGACCAAGCCCUGUAGUGAAACUCUAGCCCCUGCCUUGCCACAUCACUGCCACCGCCAAACUCAGUGGCCCGUUCUGAAGCGAAUCCUGAUAGCCUGGGCCGAGGCGGUUUCUAAAGAUAAAAUGGCCUCGUCUGGACAAACAACUCCAGGAGGGGAGAACUUCAGGCUUGCACUUAGCUCCAGCAGUUGGACUCUCCAAACCUCCUAUAUGAACUCCAAGUAUUCCUUCCCCUUCUGAAGACACCCCUUUCCCUCUGUGUCCGGCCCUAGCCAUUGGAACUAAACAGUCCGUUCUGCUGAGGUCAGAUGGGUCUCUUUUUCUGCUUCCUGUAUCUUAACACUGCCUCAGAAAUGUAACACCCACCAUUUCUGCCACUCAUCCUCGGCCUGCCCUCUGGAGACUCACUCUUCAGAGCACUGCUCUCAGACCCCGACAGUUGCCGGCAAGCUCCUGGUUGCCAUGCCAAGGCCUCAAGGAUUUAGAGCUACAACACUCUCACUCUUCUUGGUUGGCAUCCUGCAGUCACUGAGAGGUUGAGGGUUUCUACUUUCCCAUCUGAAUAGUUACUCUGGAGUGCUAAAUAUGAGUCCUUAUAGUCAAUGUUUCUUAGCCCCCCUCUUAGCACCCCAGUCACGUAAGGGAAGCAAGACAAGAAUCCUACAGGAAGACUUGACCCUCUCACUAGGAGAUAUGAUGCCUCAAAACCACUCGGUCCCGAUGCUCCAUCACGCUUGAGGAUGAGCUAUUGGGGUGAGUAGGCCUGGGAACUAGGCAGCCCAUGGAGGCUGGUCAGGUGAUGGCUUCCCCUUCCUGAUGUGUACAGUUGUUGUGUAUGCAUGUAUGUCUGUGUACCACACGCAUACCGUGUCAGCAGAGGCCAGAAGAGAAGGCAUUUGAUCCCCUAGAACUGGAGUUAGCGGCCAUGUGUGUGCUGAGACUUGAACCCAGGUCCUCUGGAAGAACAACCAGUGCUCUCAACUACUGAGCCAUCUCUCCAACCCUGAUAGCCAUUUUCUUGGUGAAUUUUCCCUUACCUAAGAAGUAACUCUGCAGGAAGUCAUAAAGAUGGUAGUCUCUCCCAGAUGGGGGUCUGUGUGAGACAGAACUCUAGGCUUCACCAUUCAGAAAAGAUGGAUGUGAUGCAGCUCUUCUCAAAGGGUUUCAUGCCUGGCACCCAGAGUUUUACUGCAUCCGUCUUAAACCAGCUUCUGCACACGGUGGAAUAGGACACGCCGCAGCAGGGGUUUCACACCUUCAAAAGCUGCCCAUUGCCUUCAUGCUCCUUCUUAGCCACCUCACAAAGAGUGGCUCCUUCCCCAUCAGGGCCAUGCUGUUGAAGAUGAAGUGGAGGUCCAGAGAAAGGUUGUUGGGGGCUCACAGCUGCCAGUUGCCAGGAGACUGGUGGCAGCCUCCACUUUAGUGGAAGGGAAACUGCUGAGUGUGGGAGCUCCUGGCUGGCCAGCAAAGGGCUGACCACACACACAAAACUGCUGUUGGCUGGUGCAGGACACAGAUGACCGUGAAGCUGGGUCAGGAACUUUCAAAAGCAAACUAGUGUGGAGAAAAGAGAAGAGCUUCCUGAUUCUUUUCUUUGUUUUGGUUUAUUUCGAGACAGGGUUCCUCUUGCAACCGUCCUGACUGUCCUGGAACUCGCUCUGUAGACCGGGCUAGCCUUGAACUCACAGAGAUCCUCCUGCCUACUGAGUGCUAGGAUUAAAGGUGUGCGCCACCAUCUCCCGGCUGCUCCUUCAUUGUUUAAACCCCCAACACUCUUGAAGCUAGAGACAGAUCUACAAGAUCAUCGAGCCUAUGUCCAAAUAACAUUUCUUUUCUCACAGUUCUGGGGGCAGUCACCUGAGGCCAAAGCAUCAGAACGUUUGGUUCCUUCUGUGCCGCACGAGGAAAGGAUGUCUUCAGACUUACAAAUGCCUGUCUUCUCCCUGUCUUCACACUGUCUUCCCUUUGUGCUUCAAGACUCUUACUGUCUCUCCGCCAUUACUCUAUUCCCAAUCCUCUUUUAAGCGUUUGUGCCUUUUUGAAGUAGCCCCUACUUUGACCCAGCCAUGGGGAAGGCAACAAAUCACAUUUCAGCCCCACACAGGAAGCAAAGAGAAACAGGAAACAGGGCUAGACUAUGAAACCUCAAAGCUCUCCUCAAGUGAUUUAUUUCCUCUCGAAAGAUUCCACCUCCUGAAGGUUCCAUAGCCUUCUGCUACAAUCUUGCAUGGCCUCAAGGAUUGACCUGACUUGGGGGCAGCCAGGGAAUAAAGACAGACAAAUGAACACACAGACAAGCUGGGGUUAACUGGACUGGGUUCUCUGAUGGAGAAAUCACAAAAGCCUGGAAGCACAGCAUGUUUAUUAUAUAGAGUACAACAGGGAGGUGGAUUAUUGCACACUGAUAAACAAGGAGGUAGGUAGGGUUUAUAGUAUACAGUUGGAUCAAGGAGAGAGGGUUAGCUAGUCUCAGUAGGCACAGUCUACCAUUCUUCAGGCCAUAAAAUAUCCAUUGGGGAGGAAGUCAUAGUGGUCAUUUUAUGCACACACUAUCAUCAGCAUUUGCACUCCGACCCUUAAGGAAGUCUUUAUCAUCUCUCUGAACUUCAUGGGGAUGAGGAGGGGACUUUGUCACUCAGUGGGGCUGAGGCUAUGAUUCCUGACAUGGCGGUGCCCACGUCAAUGACACACAUUAACUCAGGAUGAUCUCCCAAACAGCACCACCAAUUGGAGACCAAAUACUGGAACACACGGGCCUAUGGGGGAUGUUUCCUAUUCACAUCACAACAGCUUCCAUGCAGGCCCAAAACUUAGAAGGGCAAAUUCUGUUUGACUUUAGGGCUCAAAUGUACUCCUUGUUUGGGACCAGUGAGAUGGCUCACUAGGUAAUGGGAGUUGCCACCUGCUACCAAGCCUGCUAGUUUAAAUUCAAUCCCCAGGAACUGCAUGGUAGAAAGAGAGAACUGACUCCCACAAGUUGUCCUCUGAAUGCCACAUGUAUGACACAUGUGCUUUCUUCCCUACAUACACACAAAAUAAAAUAAUGUAAAUAAAAUAAAACUUUUGUUUAAUCCUCUGUCUCCUGAACCCACCCAAGUGGUGGCCAAGUCAUCUCUUUUCUGGGAAUCAGCUCUGAGAAGUUGAAUGCUGGCACCAACAAUUAGAUACCUGGCUAGCUAGAAUUUGGGGGAGAGGCCCCGUCCUCUGGAUCAGACAAGCAGACAUUUGGGAAGCAGAGGCAGGAGGAUUUCUGCAAGUUCAAGACCAGCCUGAUUUAGAGAGUGAGCCCUAGAUCAGCCAAAGCUUCAUAGCAGGACCCUGUCGCAGACAAAGAUGGAAGGUGGAGGGAUAUGAAUCUUAAAGGUGCUUUGGAUGAGGAUGAGGGCUUGGAUGGAAAUUUGAGACAUGUUACUGGAGAGCUGAAGCACGGCAAUUCUUGUGAUAAGGUGGCAAGAUGGCUAUCUUCCACCGGGUUCUUGUCCGUCCUUCCUCCAAGAAUGGAGUGAGAAGACAAGGAGUAAAAACAGAAGGACAGAAGGUACUCAGUUGUCCAUUCAUGAUUAACAACUUGUGCAGGGGUAAAACAACUCAAGACAACUGAGGCCGCCCUUCAACGCCUCAUCUUCACGUCUCCACUUCCGGAGUACCAGGAAUACAAGUGAGAGCAACACAUAGCUCUGUCUCAGUUUUAACAGCUGAAUUAUAUUCCAUCAUAUAAAAGUAGUACUGAUAUUUCUUUCUCCAAGGGAGCAUUACCAAGAAUUCAUUGAUAAUGUAUUUAGAAAAUGCAGCCUAUGAGUUCAGUCCGUCAAUUCACAGUGGAAGGAGUGAACAACUCCUGAGAGCUGUCCUCUUAAACCUCCACAGGCACACUGAGGCAUGACCUCUCUCUCUCUCUUUCUAGAGAUCUCUGUCUCCAAUAAUGUCUUAAGGGCCAGUGAGAUGGCUCAGCAGGUUGUGGCACUUGUCAUGUUUGAUCUCUGGAACCCACAUAAAGACAGAAGGAGAGAACAGAUCCCCUCAGUUUGUCUUUAUUACCAUCAUGCUCAAAACACGGCAUGCAUGUGCCCACCCCAGUGUUAUUCUUAGUUGUAAAUCUGGCAAUGGCAGAGCCUCUUGCAGCCUUGACAGAAUAGCUACGGUCCUCCUGGGGUGCCAGCACUGGAACCUGGGGAGCACUGAAGGAAACCUACAUUUUCCUUGAGCUCUUUUCUGCAUUCCACUCUCUCUGCUUAGACACUCAGGCUGGGCAACGGGAUCCAUACCUGUGAGCCCAGCACUUGGGAGGUGGAGGAAAGAAGAUUAGGAGUU